rnacentral:tRNA from 1 species
GCUCCCGUAGUGUAGUGGUCAAUCAUAGGAGCCUCUCGAGCUCUUGACGCGGGUUCAAAUCCCGCCGGGAGCA